UUUGUGCGGCCGACUAUUGGCGCCGUGUCUUGCCAUUUGUGUGAGCUAUCUUACUUUGCCUUUCAAGUGCUUGCGAGAUGUUACCUGACUUAUGGGUAUUGGUGCUUCAUACAUAGUUGCCUCGUGGUGGACGCCUUUGGGUGUGCUGCUGCGGCCAUAUGGCGAUUGUGGCGUUGCCUCGUGGUGCUGGUUCUCGUGCCCGGUGCUAUCAAGGCAGCCUUGCUCUCGUUAAUGGUUUUGGAUGUCGCUCAUGAUAUAUAUCCUCGUGGCCCAUUUGGUUGCCUCGGGGCUUGACCCUAAGAACGCUCUCCGACUUUGAGAACAUCGUUGAACGAAUGUUGCCUCUACCUUUCCACAACAAAUGGAAGGAUUACGCAGCAGACUCGAGUCCGAUCCCCAAAUAAGUCGGACGAGCAAGACCCUAAGAAUGCUCUCUGACUUUGAGAACAUCGUUGAACGAAUGUUGCCUCUACCUUUCCACAGCAAGUGGCAAGGAUUACGCAGCAUACUCGAUUCCGAUCCCCAAAUAAGUCGGACGAGCUUGGCCCGCUCAACAGCGACACCGGCCCGAUUGUUGCCUCUGCAUUGCCACGCAAGU
rnacentral:misc_RNA from 1 species